AUCCUUCUGAUUCCUUUCCUCUCAGACCUAAAUGCUGGUCUGAGGGGCUAUAUAAGGAGGAAAAGUAACAGUGAAUCUGACUCAAAUUCUUUUGUGACACAAGUUAGUUUUUAAAGAAU
ensembl:snoRNA